rnacentral:snRNA from 1 species
GGAAGUGAGGGCAAGCUGGCUGCGACAUCUGUCACCCCAUUGAUCGCCAGGGUUGAUAUGGCUGGCUAGGCAGUUGUCCCCUUCCUCCCUCACUGCUUCAUGUGCGUCCCUCCAAAGCUGUGCGCUCAGUGGAAGAGGACAACAUCCCAGGUAUAGAAAGAGUGUACCGAGGUCUCCAGUCUUC